AGGUUCACUUGAGGAGACAGACUCUGAUCCUGAGAGGUGAGAAAUGAUUCUUCACUCACAAUGAUCGCUAGUUGCUCUCUUUCUGUCACAGAGUGAAUCACUUAGAAGAGAUAUUCUUAGCGAGACGAGGCAGACACACAGCGUGGCGCAUCUGAAUGGGGAAUUUAACAACUUGAAGCCAGCCAGAUCUUCAAUGAGCAAGAAGGCAAGAAAGAAAGCUCUUUGCAUGUAAUAUAGAUGCUCCUCCAACAGUGUCAUCAGAAUGACAAGCAGAGGAACCAGAUGAACCAAUGAGGUGGCGGAAAUGUGCCAAGAAACACAGCAGUGUGCCAGCAAAGGCAGAGAAGAAGACGAAGACUGCAAGAUAGUAAACAUUGAUGCAAACAAAACCGGAUUCAAAUAUAAUCAAAUUCAUUUUUCAAUAUUUUCCUUUCAGAGAUGUAGCGUUAUCCAGUUACAAGUUUGCAUUUUGUCAAUGUUGAAUGAAAAUUACCUUCUAACCAUUAAACCUGCAUUGACAAAAACAAGCUGUUAAUACAACACUGACAUAUCACCUUUUAAGUUGAAAUGUCAAACGUGUUAGCAAACAGUUGCCUAUUUACACAUCAAGCAGACAUAGAGCAUCAUUAGCCUUCAAUUGUCGUGUUUUUGUGUUAUCCUGAAUGUGAAUGUGCAAUAUUCACUCUCUUAAGUUGUUUUAGUCUCUUCCCACUCCUGAGGGAAAUAUCUGGCUCUUUAGCUACUAAAUCCUCCACUAUGUUCACCAGCUAGUCGCUAACUUUGUCUGUCUGCUUUACAGAUUUUCAGAGCUUUUUUGCUGAAAACAGCUGCCUGCUGAUGAAAGCAGUAAGACUGAAUCACAACAGUACGGUUGUGCGCCGUAAAACCAAAACAACGAGCUGAAAGAUGCUGAAACACUACAGAGCUGAGGGGAACUGCAGAGUCAAGUGAUAAUUCUCAGGGCCCAUCAACCCUACACCAACAUUCAUUUUUCACAGCAGGACAGUCAUUCAAAAACCUGUGGGAAAAAAGCAGCAAAUCCUCACGCUGGAGAAGCUGCAAUAUGUGAAUGUUUGGCAUUUUUGUUUGAAAAAUGACUGUUGAGCAUGUUUAAUUUAAUGUUUAUGUAUUCGGAUUUAAUUAAUUUAUUCAUUCAAUUCACGUGCCUGUAUCUGUGUGUGUGAGUUUGUCAUACUCUGUUGCUCUUUGCGUUCAAAGUGUUUUGGAUUACUAAAUGCAUUAUUAUUAAUAAUAAAAGUCUGACUGUGUUUUAUAAAAAGGUAGCCAUCUCUUUAGUUGUUUUGUUGAUCUCUGUGCCAAAGCUACAAUCAUAUCACAUUCUUAAUUUUGAUGCCUCCUUCGCUUCCCCUCUGUGACUCUUGUCUCUUCAGU